UUAGCUCAUAUUUGUAUGGGAUAGGAUCGUUUGCCUACGUUUUCCGCUAGGGGCGCUGUUCCAACUGCAUACAAAAUUGAGUUA
rnacentral:pre_miRNA from 1 species